GUCAGGCAAAGAGGUAUGCAUCUGUAAUCCCAGCUACUAAGGAGGCUAAGGCAGGAGAAUUGCUUGAGCCCAGGAGUUCAAUUCCAGCCUGGGUAACAUAGCAAGAUCCCAU
rnacentral:sRNA from 1 species